CCAGAGAAAAGCCAGGAAAAACUCCCCAUGGAUUUAGAGACAGAGCUCUCACCUUCAACAGGUUACUUUUUCCUUGUCUCAGGCUUCCUUGGAAAACAACCUAUAACUAACUUUCUGGGAGUAAAGCUUCAGGUGGAAGAACAAUUGGAUCAAACUUGGAAAACGAUGCCCCCAGUUUGUCUACUCCAUUGAACUUUGCAUGCUUGGAGCCCCUGGCCUCAGCACACUCAAUCGCACAAGCCAGCCUGCAGCACCUGUACAGCACCAUGGGAGUCCCCUGCAGAGCUGCAACUUUGAGAGUGGGUAUAGUGACGUAACUCAGGUUCUUCAAGGGAUGAACACUCCAACUUUGAAACCACUAGCCUGUAGGUGUGGACGAAAAGGCAGCUGCAUGUUAUAAAACAAUAUUACUCAUAC
rnacentral:lncRNA from 1 species